GACGAACGCUGGCGGCGUGCCUAACACAUGCAAGUCGAGCGAUGAAGCUCCUUCGGGAGUGGAUUAGCGGCGGACGGGUGAGUAACACGUGGGAAACCUGCCUCAUAGAGAGGGAUAGCCUUCCGAAAGGAAGAUUAAUACCUCAUAAGAUUGUAGUUUCGCAUGAAACGGCAAUAAAAGGAGCAAUCCGCUAUGAGAUGGACCCGCGUCGCAUUAGCUGGUUGGUAAGGUAAUGGCUUACCAAGGCGACGAUGCGUAGCCGACCUGAGAGGGCUAUCGGCCACAUUGGGACUGAGACACGGCCCAGACUCCUACGGGAGGCAGCAGUGGGGAAUAUUGCACAAUGGGGGAAACCCUGAUGCAGCAACGCCGCGUGAGUGAUGACGGUCUUCGGAUUGUAGAACUCUGUCUUUGGGGACGAUAAUGACGGUACCCAAGGAGGAAGCCACGGCUAACUACGUGCCAGCCGCCGCAGUAAUAC
rnacentral:rRNA from 1 species